GCCUCCGUGGUGUAGUGGUCAGCACGCUCGACACGGAACCGAGAGUUCCGUGGUUCGAUUCCCGGCGAAGGCG
rfam:Stegodyphus mimosarum contig116034, whole genome shotgun sequence.